GACGAACGCUGGCGGCAUGCCUAAUACAUGCAAGUCGAACGCUGAAGUACUCUGCUUGCAGAGUACGGAUGAGUGGCGAACGGGUGAGUAACACGUGGGAAAUCUGCCUAUAAGUGGGGGAUAACAUUCGGAAACGGAUGCUAAUACCGCAUAUAUUCAAAAACCGCAUGGUUUUUGAAAGAAAGACGGCUCUGCUGUCGCUUAUAGAUGAUCCCGCGGCGUAUUAGUUAGUUGGUGGGGUAAAGGCCUACCAAGACCAUGAUACGUAGCCGACCUGAGAGGGUGAUCGGCCACACUGGGACUGAAAUACGGCCCAGACUCCUACGGGAGGCAGCAGUAGGGAAUCUUCCACAAUGGACGCAAGUCUGAUGGAGCAAUGCCACGUAAAAUGAAAAAGGUCUUUCGGAUCGUAAAGUUCUGU
rnacentral:rRNA from 1 species